rnacentral:lncRNA from 1 species
UAAAAUAGGUGCAGAAAAAGGCGUUGAUCGUUUGAAGUUAGAUCAGGAGGUUACAAGCAAUCAAAAUGUUUGUUUAACCGAGAAAGUGAAAGAAGCGGCAGUGGCAACGGAAGCGGUAGUGACAGCAGAAGCGGUAGUGGCAACGGAAGUGGUAAUGACAACAGUAACAGGAGCAGCGAUAGCAACAGUAGCAAAAACAGAUACAGCAACAGAAACAGAAAAAAAACCAGAAAAAAAACCAGAAACAGCAACAAUAACACCACUACCAUUAACAACAACACCACUACCAUUAACAACAACACCACUACCAUUAACAACAACACAACCACCAUUAACAACAACAACACCACCACCAUUAACAACAACAACAACAACACCACCACCAUUAACAACAACAACAACAACAAAAAGGGAAAACGAAAGUGUACAGGAAAGUGUACAGGAAAGUGAUACAAAGAAGCUACACAAUGAGCCUAAGACUAGUGGAAUAAGUAAUUAUUAUAAUAUCGAUCCAAACGUGAACCGUUUUUUAAACAACUACAUAAUGGAUAAUAUACCUAACAAUGUUAUUAAUGAUAAUAUGAUUAAUAAUAAGCGUAGUAGUAGCAGCUCAAGUAAUUAUAUUCAUAAGUAUAUUGCAAAAGAUAAAGAAGAAAUGAUAACAAAUGUUGCAGGAGGUAUAGCAACAAAAGAAGAACGCAAUAAAAACGGAAACAUAAGAAUAAAUGACGUGGUUACACAAGCAAAAGCAGAAAAUAAAAAUGCUGAAGAACGUAGUUAUAAUCAGAAUAUAUUAUCAUAUAACAACCAUGACAUUAUAAAAAAAAGUUUGGAGGGUAUUAGUGAGUACGAAAAUCAACAACGUAGUAAGUUCGAAAAUAAAGAUGAACAUCUUAGUGGUGUGACACAAAAACAAAAUUUUAGUAAAAAUAUUUUAUCAUAUAUACGUGAACAACAAAAUGUAUCACCUUCGAAUUAUAUAUCAAAUUUUGAGCAUACAAUAGGGAAUACAGAAAAUGAGUAUAGUACUAAUGCCACGUUUAGAAAAACCAAUUCUGAAGAAGAUAUACAAAAAAAAAUAAUAAUAGAAAAAAGAUACAUAUUUGACAGUAUAAUGAUCGAGUAUGAAAUGCUUAAA